rnacentral:rRNA from 1 species
AUCAACUUUCGAUGGUAGGAUAGAGGCCUACCAUGGUGGUAACGGGUAACGGGGUGUUAGGGCACGACACCGGAGAGGGAGCCUGAGAAACGGCUACCACAUCCAAGGAUGGCAGCAGGCGCGCAAAUUACCCAAUCCCGACACGGGGAGGUAGUGACAAUAAAUAACAAUACGGGGUUCUUUAGGAUUUCGUAAUUGGAAUGAGUACAAUUUAAAUCUCUUAACGAGGAACAAUUGGAGGGCAAGUCUGGUGCCAGCAGCCGCGGUAAUUCCAGCUCCAAUAGCGUAUAUUAAGGUUGUUGCAGUUAAAAAGCUCGUAGUUGAAUUUCGGGGUCAGUAGGUUGGUCAUGCCACUGGUAUGUACUGGCCUCACUGAUUCCUCCUUCCUGAUGAGCCGUAAUGCCAUUAAUUUGGUGUUGCGAGGAAUCCGGACUGUUACUUUGAAAAAAUUAGAGUGUUUAAAGCAGGCUAACGCUUGAAUACAUUAGCAUGGAAUAAUGAAAUAGGACGUUCGAUCUUAUUUUGUUGGUUUCUAAGAUUGACGUAAUGAUUAAUAGGGAUAGUUGGGGGCAUUAGUAUUCAAUUGUCAGAGGUGAAAUUCUUGGAUUUAUUGAAGACUAACUACUGCGAAAGCAUUUGCCAAGGAUGUUUUCAUUAAUCAAGAACGAAGGUUAGGGGAUCGAAGACGAUCAGAUACCGUCGUAGUCUUAACCAUAAACUAUGCCGACUAGGGAUCGGAUGAUGUUAAUUUUUUAAUGACUCAUUCGGCGCCUUACGGGAAACCAAAGUGUUUGGGUUC